AAUAGAUACCCUGGUAGUCCACGCCGUAAACGAUGUCGACUUGGAGGUUGUGCCCUUGAGGCGUGGCUUCCGGAGCUAACGCGUUAAGUCGACCGCCUGGGGAGUACGGCCGCAAGGUUAAAACUCAAAUGAAUUGACGGGGGCCCGCACAAGCGGUGGAGCAUGUGGUUUAAUUCGAUGCAACGCGAAGAACCUUACCUACUCUUGACAUCCAGAGAACUUUCCAGAGAUGGAUUGGUGCCUUCGGGAACUCUGAGACAGGUGCUGCAUGGCUGUCGUCAGCUCGUGUUGUGAAAUGUUGGGUUAAGUCCCGCAACGAGCGCAACCCUUAUCCUUUGUUGCCAGCGGUUAGGCCGGGAACUCAAAGGAGACUGCCAGUGAUAAACUGGAGGAAGGUGGGGAUGACGUCAAGUCAUCAUGGCCCUUACGAGUAGGGCUACACACGUGCUACAAUGGCGCAUCAAAGAGAAGCGACCUCGCGAGAGCAAGCGGACCUCAUAAAGUGCGUCGUAGUCCGGAUUGGAGU
rnacentral:rRNA from 1 species